UUGCGCUUUUUCUAACUCAUGUCUCUUAAGUGUUUUAAAAAACCUGCUGGGUUUUUUAAUGACUUCUGUGCCGUAUUUUGCAUUUUCCCUUUAUUCCCAGAGAGGAAAUGAUGGCAAACUAAGUAAUACUGUGCAUCCACGGUCAAAAGCAAACCUUUGUUUUGAUGAAUUGUUGACAAAGUUUUCCAAAUUAAUUUCUUUUCUCUUAAAUAUUUAUGUAUAAAUGUUCAAUUAAGUCUUAUCUUGGUAUCUAAUUGUCAAGAAAAUAUACUGGAAAAUGGACAAAAUGCUUGUGCUGAGGUUGGCAGCAGUGACUGACGAGUUUUGCCCCACCUUUGCCCUCUUCACCUGAAAGGAAACAGGAAGAAGAGGCUGGACACGCUCCCUAACAUCCCCUUGCAAGACGAUUGGAGCGGAGCGGACACACUUGCUGCUGAGAUGCCGGGAGGCUGAGCUGUUGGGCCAGACUGGAGGUGCUUCCACAUGGUAUUUGUUCAUCUUCAGAUAAUCCUGUUAAAUGGGAAACGUUCCUCUCUUUUCACGGAUGAGGAAACAAAAUACGGAGCUUUUCCCAGGAAUCAUCGCCAGAAAAUGUAGAGCCUGAAUUUAAAAGCCAGUCAAAACAGGGGACCUCAUAGUCCACUUACAUAGUAUAGCCGCUGAGGAAGAUGCGGCCCUCCAGCCCUCUGGUUGAAUGGUGACCUGCAAAUACGUGGUAGAGAAGGACCAGGAGGGCCACGCCCUGUCCACCUGCACACCGUGUGCUCCAUCCAGUCGGGCCACCUGGGCACUGCUUCAUGAAGCAGGGAGAGGCACUCAGGCUGAGGAACAGGCGUCGCAGCCUUGCCCCCACCACCUCUGCCCUCUUCCACACGGGUGUCUGUCCACACGAAGGGGCCGGUUUGCACCCCCUUGGAGCUGUACCUUCAGGAAGCCAGCUUCGCUCUGGAAAAUCAGGCUCUCUUCUGACCUGGUAAUUUAAAUCCCAGCUGAUCUGACCCAGAUGGACUGAGACCAAGUGGAAGUCCUGGAAGCGAUGCCUUGGGAUUCUCUGGGAAGCGGAGGUUAAGGAAGGGAAGGACCAGGCAGUAACUGUGUGUCUCUGCCACAGCCAGACCAUCCGUCCCAGCAUGAGAGCCUCGGGGUGAGUCUGGGGCCCGCCCAGGAAGCUCGGGGCCUCAGGGCCAGCGCUGCGGUUUCUGAACACAGGGGAGACAGCAGGGUGACGUGAGCUCAGGGCUAGGGUGAGUCCUUUUUUGCCCGAAGGGUUUACUUCAGACCUGCUUUGUCUUGCAGGGGUGUGUGUGUUCAUUUCCAUGCGAAUCACCACUGUCCUGUCUUAGUGAGGUGUUGGUGUUGGCCUCUCUUAAUUACUGCACUGCAGUGGAGAGGGUCCCCUCCAGAAUCGUGUCCGCCCAGGACCUGUGAGUGUGACUGUUUGGAAACAGGACCUUUGCAAUUGUAGUCAAGUUAAGAUGAGGUCAUCCUGGGUCAGUGUGGCCCUAAUGCAGUGAUGGGGUCCUUACAAGAAAAGGGAAAUUUGGACACAGACAUGGAGGAGAGACGGCCAUGUGGAGAUGGAUGGAGACAGUGAGUGCGCAUCAGAAACAGCCAGCAGGGGCCAGGAAGAAGAAAGGAAGCCUCCUGGAGCCUUAGGAGGGAGUGGGGUCCUGCUGACACUCGGUUCUGGACUUCCAGCCUCCAGAGCUGUGAGAGGCUACGUUCUGUGGCUUCAAGCCACUAAAUUAUGGUACCUUGUUACGGGCAGUCCUAGAAAACUAAUACAGUUCCCUUUAUACAUUCUUUUUUUGUUGUUGUUCUUUUUUAUUGACGUGUAGUCGGCUUACCAUGUUGUGUCAGUUACACAUUUUUAAAAUGUGUAGACUUAACAAUUUUUGUAGGCUUUUAUAUAUUUUAUAUUUCAAUGAGGCAAUUACACUUUGGUAUAAAAAUCAACUAAACACAAAAUUUUC